rnacentral:misc_RNA from 1 species
GUGAAUCAUCGAAUUUUUGAACGCAAAUUGCGCUUCCUGGCAACCCGGGAAGUAUGCCUGUUUGAGGGUCAGUAUUAAUAAAAAAGCGGUUUAGUUACAAAUUGUGACGUUUCCGGUGUUUGGGCUAUCUUUACAUUUUUGUUUUAGAGGCUUAAAAUUGACCUUUUUUGUGCAUUUUAAAACGCAAAUAAUUUUUUUUCAUUAUUUUAUUGUUAUU